rnacentral:tRNA from 1 species
CAGAGGGUAGUUUAAUUUAGAAUAUUAAUUUUGGGGAUUAAUGAUAAAGAGUUUUCUUUUCCUCUGA